CAUCUUCAAACUCAGGCACAGAGUCGACGAUCUUUUUCAUCACCCAUCCGUCCGGGGGGAUAAAGUUAUUACCUUCUUGCGCCUUAACGGACUCUUUCUUGCCUCCUGCUUUCGCAUCCAACUUCUGUGACGAGGAUGAAUCCCUGCCUUUCUUCUGGUUUCUCUUAGAUUUAGGACGGGCUUCUUCUUCAUCAUCUGGAACAGUUUCUACGGUUGCUGUCUUCAUGCUGGCAGACUUGCCUCUCUUCUUCUUUGAUCCUUUAUCUGUAUUAGCAGGUAUGCUUUCUUGCGACUCUGAAGAUUUGCUUGGAUGAUCUAUCAGACUAGCAGUAGAAGCUUGGAUGCUAAAAGCUUCUGCAUCUUUCUCAAUUUGAUCAUAUAUGCCCUGAAUAUUAAAUUAGUAGGUCAAGCUAAGUCGUAGUUCAGAUAGAGAAAGCCAAUUGGAAAACACAAAGGAAACUACUAAAAAUACCCUUCAUUUCAUAUGAUUACCUUUAUGAACCCACUGCUUAUGACAUAGGAUUCAGCCAGGAUAAGUGCUUUCUCAGCCUGAAUAGAAAAUAAAUCAGCAAUCAAUCGCAAAAGAGCACUGACUAGUUAUCAAAUUUGACCAAAAUACCACCUUGAGAGCUGAUUGGACGGAGGGACAAAGAAGCAGAAUCUUGUUUGCAUCCUGUGAUGUGAAUGACGCAGGCAAUACAGAGAGGGAAUCGAUCCUGAAUCGAGUAACAAGGUUUCAGUAACAACGUGUAGAGACAGUAUAACACAUAAAAGCACACAAACACCGUAGACAGAGGGGAAAAAAGUACGGGCAAUAAGCCUCACCAGCUGUUUUGUUCAAUAGCAUCCUCGGUUGUAGAAUCCAGCAUCUCAAUCAUCGAAGAAUGAAUAAAUACUGCAGAUAAAGGUUUCCCAUCUGGAUAUCUAGACUAAACAUGUCACACAACAAAAAACAUAAUGAGAUGAAAAUUAAAGAGGCAACAUGAUACUCCCAAACUAGAGAAAAAUUUAUGUUAAACUAACAUGAUCGUUAUACCUGUAAGAACUGCACGGCUUGAGAAAUCCCAAGCUUCUGCAUGGUCUCAUAGGGAAUAUAAGAAUUCUGCAGGAAAACGGAAGAAAAUAAACCACCAAACCGUUGCUUCACUUUUCUACAAGGAAUAAUAAUUAACAGAACAUGCUAAAAGUGCAGUCUGGUGAAGUUCAAGUUUAAACCUUUUCUCAACCCAAUUACUUAAUAAACGGAUUCAUACAUGAGGCCAUUUCAGAGAGAGCGACAAAAAAAAAAACCUGUGAGAAGAAAGAGUCUACGCAUUCCUUUUGAGCAACAGCAAAAACCUGUCCCAAAAAUUAAACUGCAAAGUUAAUAAUCUAAUGAAUGAACAAGAAGAGUCCUCUCAUGACAUCAUGAAGACUGUCGCAAUUAGUAAUACAUAAGAUGCCAGAGACCAAGAAAGAUUAGAACUUUAGGACAUACAGAAGGAGUCCAAUGGGUGCCAGCACGUAGUGAUCCAAGCAUCUCCUCUUCCUUCAACAGACGGUUAAAUAUAGACUGGAAAAACGCAUUCUCAACAGCGACUCCACUAGAUCCAUUCAUUUGUUGCACCAACUGUUGUAACGGCGCCCACAAAGCAGACAAAUUGGAAGGAACAAAGAUACCCCUGGAAGCACCUCGAACCAUAGCGGUAACACGUGCUACAUAAGCAGGCGUAUAUAACUGUCCACCUUCUAGCCUUGCUUUCACCUAAAACGGAUUGGAAAAAUGUAAAAAAAAAAACUUUCAUUCACAAAAACACAAUGUGGAAGAGAGAGAGGAAAAGAUUUGGCAUUACCAAAGUUCCAAGGCGAGGCUCUAAAACGGAUUGCACCAACUCAGAGCCAACCUGUAACUGACCAGCAAGUUCAGCCACAGAGAUUUGGCUGCAUUCUUGGAGCCUCUCGUUGAUCUCUUCUGCGAUUGAGUCCCAAUAGGUUUGUGAUAUGAUCUCUCCCUGGACAAGCAUUAGCCCUGGAUCACUCAAGACCACAUCAAUUUAUUAUUUAACCGAUGCUGCAUUUGGUAGUUAAACAGUUAUAAGUAUUUCACAAACGCACCAAUUUCUAACCAUGGAAUUAGUCGUAUAAAUCUCUUAAAACUGGUAGAAAUCGCAACCACUCCUAUCGGCAAACUUCCGCAACCUCACUGCGUUUGAACUAGUUAUGUCUAGAUUUUCGCUGUUUGCAACAAGCACGAGAAUGGAACUAUUUUUGUAUGGGCCUGAUAAUGGGCUAUGGCAGCGUAAAUAAAUGGUUUUGUAUGGGCAUGGGCUACGGCCGAGAUCUGCUAUCCGAAUCUUUUUUGUCAAGUAUGAGUGUUGAAAAUUGGUUUUGUUGAUAACACAAUUAGGAAGCGUUCACUUGCCACUGGUUUCCGAAAUUUUAUUAGAACCGGAUGGUUGAAGGCCUCUUAACCUAGUUUACUUUUUAAUUACGGUUUACAUUUAUAUACUAAAACACAAGUCACACAUGACCAACAAAAUUUUAACACAUAGCAAAGUUAAAAAAACAAAAACAAAAAAUAAAACACACAAUUAACAAACAAAAUAAAACUUUUCAUUCCACGUUCAUUUGGCUCACGAUUUCAAACUGUUCUUUUAACCUUUUAUAAAGUUCUAAUUACUAAUUUAUUCUCUCUUUGCUCUUUUUAACUCUCUCUUCAUUGUCCUCCUUUUGUUUUUGUUACAAUUUUGACUAUACAAAAAAAAACUUACAGAUUUAUAACUAUAUUAUUUUUUGUAUCUUACAGAUUGAAGAUGACACUUGAAUCAAAGCUUAAUUCUUCAAUAUAAGAAUGGGAAAUAAGAACUUCAUCAGCAACUAAGACCAUGAUAACCUUCCCUUCCAAGGCCUCAACUAAUGCAAGGGCCUUUCUCGAGAGUGAACCGUUGAGAUUUUUAGCCUGUCACAAAGGAAAAGAAUCAGCUAGCAUUACUUUAGAAUAUAAAGUGCAAAAACAAAGUAUUAAGAUAAAUUAUUGAUCAAGUGCACAUACAAGGGCCAUUCUUUCAGAAGACUCCAGCAAAACUGAAUCUUGAGCUUUGGAAUCUCCAACCUCAAUACCAUUCUUCAAGUUGUUGAGGAUGUCCUGUUUUGAUAAUCACAUCUUAACUAGCUAAAUCUUUAAGAAAAUGGCCUAGGAAGCUCACUUUAUUUUUGACUUACCAAGUCAUGAAGUAGUGUAUCAGCAAUUGUAGCUGCUGUUGUUCUCAGCAGAUGCCUAUGUAAAACAGCCUAGGACCAGAAGAAACGAAAUUGAUACAUUAUAUUCUUUAGUUAGCAAGUGCGGCCUUUCAAAAUGGACAGAAAGUACUUACUGAAGUCGAUUGGUCAUCUUCAAAUAGCUCUAGCGCUUUUUCGUACAGCUGCAUAUUUAGAAACGACUGCCAAAAGGAAAGCCAUUAAAGCGAGUAACACAGGAUAUACAUUGAUUGUCCAAAAAUAUAAAACUAUAGUUGAAGCACUUGGGUCCAACCUCAUCAAGCUUUUUCUGAAGAUCAUCCUUCAAGCGUUUCAUUCUAUCUGCAUUUUCUGUGAAGAUUUUCUUUCUUCUCUCCUUUAAUGAGUUAAUGAGCAUCGGUCUCAUAAGGUCAGCUAGAUGCUUGAGAAUUGAAUCUGGGUUCUCCAUACCUGCAGUACACAACAUAGCUACUGUCACACGGACAAUAGGUACGUAAUUUUGUAUGAAUGCAAAAGAAUGACUUUCUCAGAUGUACCUUCAUCUUCAAACUCAGGCACAGAGUCGACGAUCUUUUUCAUCACCCAUCCGUCCGGGGGGAUAAAGUUAUUACCUUCUUGCGCCUUAACGGACUCUUUCUUGCCUCCUGCUUUCGCAUCCAACUUCUGUGACGAGGAUGAAUCCCUGCCUUUCUUCUGGUUUCUCUUAGAUUUAGGACGGGCUUCUUCUUCAUCAUCUGGAACAGUUUCUACGGUUGCUGUCUUCAUGCUGGCAGACUUGCCUCUCUUCUUCUUUGAUCCUUUAUCUGUAUUAGCAGGUAUGCUUUCUUGCGACUCUGAAGAUUUGCUUGGAUGAUCUAUCAGACUAGCAGUAGAAGCUUGGAUGCUAAAAGCUUCUGCAUCUUUCUCAAUUUGAUCAUAUAUGCCCUGAAUAUUAAAUUAGUAGGUCAAGC
rnacentral:lncRNA from 1 species